AUGGCAAUCCUGAGCGGACUAGGGCUUCUACGAACCCUGUGUGUAUUUCAACAAUAUUUACUGCAUAAACUCCUCUGUAGUUAGCAGUCACCGUUCUGUGGCAAUUGAAGAUCUUUCUAUUAAAUGCCAGUCAUAUUACCCUCCCCUCGAACACUAAUGCCAAGGACGUACUGGGAGAGAUUUACAGUAUCUACAGAACAAGCACCCGGAAUGAACGUGCUAAAAGGGAACUUUACAAGACUAAAGUACGAGGGAAUAUUAAACUGUAUGAGGUGGAGAGCAUUUGUCAAAUCCACCAUCCAGACUGAAAUGGCCUAUGGUUACAGACCAGGUUAAAGUGUGUAAUUCUUUAAGCUCUUCUCUUCAGAGAUAUCAACAAGUGAAAGAUAAAAGGAAUGUGUGUCAGGG